GGCCUACAUCCAUCAAAUGCUGACCGGAAAACCUUUUGUUACGCUCAGAUACUCCCUCUCGGUCAAUGGCCACCUUUUAAAUCAACUUGGGGAAGGAGUCACAGAGUGUGGUGGAUACUACUCAAAAUUGUUACAGGAAUAUGAUGCAAUUAUAGUUUCUAGCUCAUUAAUUGACAAGUUUUUAGUUCCUACAUCACAAGAACCUGGUGCCAAUCAACCCCUUUGUGUCAUAACUGCAGCUUCUCGUUCUUCUCCAAUCCAAAUCCGUUCUGUAGGGCAAGAAGCAGCAUCCAAAAUGAUUA
rnacentral:misc_RNA from 1 species